ACACUGAUGGUGAAGUGGUUAUCAUGCUUGCCUUCCAUCACUGAUGUUCAGCAAGCGGCAGGGGUUCGAUUCCCCUUCAGUGUA